GAUGAACCACCCUGAACGCACCCGAUCUCGUCUGAUCUCGGAAGCUAAGCAGGGUCGGGCCUGGUUAGUACUUGGAUGGGAGAAGUCCAAGGGGUGAAUGAGCCAGCAGCU
rnacentral:rRNA from 1 species